UACGUAGGGACCAAGCGUUGUUCGGAUUUACUGGGCGUAAAGGGCGCGUAGGCGGCUUAACAAGUCACUUGUGAAAUCUCCGGGCUUAACUCGGAACGGCCAAGUGAAACUGUCAAGCUAGAGUGCAGAAGGGGCAAUCGGAAUUCUUGGUGUAGCGGUGAAAUGCGUAGAUAUUAAGAGGAACACCUGAGGUGAAGACGGGUUGCUGGGCUGACACUGACGCUGAGGCGCGAAAGCCAGGGGAGCAAACGGG
rnacentral:rRNA from 1 species